GUCCUAGUAGCUUAAACUAAAGCACUGGUCUUGUAAACCAAAAAUGAGAAAACUAUCUCCAAGGACA
rnacentral:tRNA from 1 species